rnacentral:lncRNA from 1 species
CUUUCUCACCACCCACCUCACCCGGAAAUCCCCUGUCUCGAAAAGGCACUCUGUCACGUGUACACAGGAAAGGGCCCUGACAAGAGGAUGGGACUGCAGUUGUGGCUGCCAGAGUCUUGCUUUGUCGCCCAGGUUGGAGUGCAGUGGCACGAUCUCGGCUCAGUGCAACCUCCGCCUCCUGAGUUCAAGUGAUUCUCCUGCCUCAGCCUCCCUAGUAGCUGGGAUUACAGGACAAGGAGAGGGACAAAUUCCUUCUUGGCAUCCUUAUGGCCCUGUGACCUGCUAAUGAAUGCUGACUCUGAGUUGCUACUAGAAUUUGGUUUCCUUGUGGCUUCCCAGGAAUUGUGAGCCAUGUUGGAUAAGGACCUGCAAGGGAAGAAUGAGGAAGCCUGGGACAGUGCAGGAGGGGAGAGCACUGGUGGUAGAGAGGAGUGAUGACAAGGGUCUCCGCCAAAAGGGAAAUGGAGGGGUUAAAGAAGCUGCUGGGGAGGGUUAAAAACAAUGUGUUCUCACUCGUAGGUGGGAAUUGAACAAUGAGAACACUUGGACACAGGAAGGGGAACAUCACACACUGGGGCCUGUCGUGGGGGUCUCACUCUGCUCACUCUGUCUCCCAAGCUGGAGUGCAGUGGUACAGUCACGGCUCACUGCAGCCUCCACUUCCUGGACUCAAGUGAUCUUCUCACUUCAGCCUUCUGAGUAGCUGGGACUACAGCCCCCUCUGCAGCUCUUCAUGGGGGUCCACUCAAGUCAGAAGCCACAUUUGGGUGUGAUUCAGAGAGCUGUUUAUGCAAAACCAGCUUUGUCACCAUCAGGCAAGGCACCUGAAUUCCCACCGCAGAGAGUGUUGUGGCCGUGAGGACUUUUCUGUCACCAGCCAUUUCCAGGUAGACCCAGUGUAAUCACAAGCAUCCUUGUAAGUGGCAAAGAGGCAGAGGAGACAGCGCCAGAGAGGCAGCUGCAUGAGAAGGAUCAAGAUGUUGCUGACUUUGAAGUUGGAAGAAGAAGGCCAUGAGCCUCAGUAUGUGGGCGGCUUCUAGAAGCUGGAAGGGGCAAGGAGAUGGAUUUGACCCUUCAGCCUCCAGGGGCAGCUGUACCUGCCAUCACUGAUUGUAGCCUGGUGAGGCCUGUUUUAGACUUCUGACCUGUAGAGCUGUAACAUAAUACAUUUGGGUUGUUUUCAACCACUAAGUUUGUGGUAAUUUGUUGUAGCAGCUGUAGAAAAUGAAUACAUAUGAAUCCUCUGGCAUUUGUUUGAGAUUUGCUCUAUGGCCUAGUAUGUGGUUGUAAAUGUUCCAUCUGUGCCUGAAAAAAUGUAUAUUUCUAAUUCAGUAGUCUCUGCUUUUUUUUUUUAUUUUGUACCCCAUCAAUAAAAUGAUUUUCAGCAUGUAUCCCCAAAUAAACAAUAUUUUAUUUAUUGAUUGAUUGAUAAACAGACAUGUUUAAUGAUAGCUUGCUUUUCACAGAGGUGACUUCGGAGACUUCUAAUCUAUAAUCCAGGAGUAUAUAACCAUG